rnacentral:rRNA from 1 species
AACGAACGCUGGCGGCAUGCCUAACACAUGCAAGUCGAACGAGACCUUCGGGUGUAGUGGCGCACGGGUGCGUAACGCGUGGGAACCUGCCCUUAGGUUCGGAAUAACUCCCCGAAAGGGGUGCUAAUACCGGAUAAUGUCUUCGGACCAAAGAUUUAUCGCCUUUGGAUGGGCCCGCGUUGGAUUAGCUAGUUGGUAGGGUAAAAGCCUACCAAGGCGAUGAUCCAUAGCUGGUCUGAGAGGAUGAUCAGCCACACUGGGACUGAGACACGGCCCAGACUCCUACGGGAGGCAGCAGUGGGGAAUAUUGGACAAUGGGCGAAAGCCUGAUCCAGCAAUGCCGCGUGAGUGAUGAAGGCCUUAGGGUUGUAAAGCUCUUUUACCCGGGAUGAUAAUGACAGUACCGGGAGAAUAAGCUCCGGCUAACUCCGUG